UACGAAGGGGGCAAGCGUUGUUCGGAAUUACUGGGCGUAAAGCGCGUGUAGGCGGCUUGGCAAGUCGGAUGUGAAAUCCCGAGGCUCAACCUCGGAACUGCACUCGAAACUGCCUGGCUCGAGUCCCGGAGAGGGUGGCGGAAUUCCCGGUGUAGGGGUGAAAUCCGUAGAUAUCGGGAGGAACACCAGUGGCGAAGGCGGCCACCUGGACGGUGACUGACGCUGAGACGCGAAAGCGUGGGGAGCAAACAGG
rnacentral:rRNA from 1 species